rnacentral:rRNA from 1 species
UACAGAGGUGGCAAGCGUUGUUCGGAAUUACUGGGCGUAAAGGGCUCGUAGGCGGCCAACUAAGUCAGACGUGAAACCCCUCGGCUUAACCGGGGAACUGCGUCUGAUACUGGAUGGCUCGAGUUUGGGAGAGGGAUGCGGAAUUCCAGGUGUAGCGGUGAAAUGCGUAGAUAUCUGGAGGAACACCGGUGGCGAAGGCGGCAUCCUGGACCAACACUGACGCUGAUGAGCGAAAGCCAGGGGAGCA